rnacentral:rRNA from 1 species
GACGAACGCUGGCGGCGUGCCUAAUACAUGCAAGUUGAGCGAUGAAGAUUGGUGCUUGCACCAAUUUGAAGAGCAGCGAACGGGUGAGUAACGCGUGGGGAAUCUGCCUUUGAGCGGGGGACAACAUUUGGAAACGAAUGCUAGUACCGCAUAACAACUUUAAACAUAAGUUUUAAGUUUGAAAGAUGCAAUUGCAUCACUCAAAGAUGAUCCCGCGUUGUAUUAGCUAGUUGGUGAGGUAAAGGCUCACCAAGGCGAUGAUACAUAGCCGACCUGAGAGGGUGAUCGGCCACAUUGGGACUGAGACACGGCCCAAACUCCUACGGGAGGCAGCAGUAGGGAAUCUUCGGCAAUGGACGAAAGUCUGACCGAGCAACGCCGCGUGAGUGAAGAGGGUUUUCGGAUCGUAAAACUCUGUUGGUAGAGAAGAACGUUGGUGAGAGUGGAAAGCUCAUCAAGUGACGGUAACUACCCAGAAAGGGACGGCUAACUACGUG